ensembl:misc_RNA 7SK 7SK RNA
GGGUAUGAGGUCGAUCUGGCUGUGACAUCUGUCACCUCACUGAUCACCAGGGUGGAAUGGGCUGACCUGGCUGGCUAGGCGAUGUCCCCUCCCUCCCUGAGUGUUCCAAGGAUGCCCCCGCAGUGUCCCUCCUCAAGCUGUGUGUUUUGUUGAAGAGGAUGACCACCCUUACAGAGGAGGACCGCGCCUUGGUCAACGGUAGCUGUGCGCCCCCGCUAGAACCUCCAGACAAGCUCUCAAGAACUGAACAGUUUAAUACCCCUCACCCUUAUUUUAGAGACCAUUUGUUAAAAUAUUCUGUUGCCUCAGAGUUUUAUGAUAAACGUGUUUCAAGUUUAGGAAU